rnacentral:rRNA from 1 species
GUUGGAAUGGGGCAAGCCUGAUGCAGCCAUGCCGCGUGUGUGAAGAUGGUCUUCGGAUUGUAAAGCACUAUAAGUUGGGAGGAAGGGCAUUAACCUAAUACAUUAGUGUCUUGACGUUACGGACAGAAUAAGCACCGGCUAACUCUGUGCCAGCAGCCGCGGUAAUACAGAGGGUGCAAGCGUUAAUCGGAAUUACUGGGCGUAAAGAGCGCGUAGGUGGUUUGUUAAGUUGAAGGUGAAAUCCACGGGCUCAACCUGGGAACUGGAUCCAAAACUGGCAAGCUAGAGUAUGGUAGAGGGUAGUGGAAUUUCCUGUGUAGCGGUGAAAUGCGUAGAUAUAGGAAGGAACACCAGUGGCGAAGGCGACUACCUGGACUGAUACUGACACUGAGGUGCGAAAGGGUGGGGAGCAAACAGGAUUAGAUACCCUGGGUAGUCACA